rnacentral:rRNA from 1 species
CCUACGGGUGGCAGCAGUGGGGAAUAUUGGGCAAUGGGCGCAAGCCUGACCCAGCAACGCCGCGUGAAGGAAGAAGGCUUUCGGGUUGUAAACUUCUUUUCUCAGGGACGAAGCAAGUGACGGUACCUGAGGAAUAAGCCACGGCUAACUACGUGCCAGCAGCCGCGGUAAUACGGAGGUGGCAAGCGUUAUCCGGAUUUACGGGGUGUAAAGGGCGGAUAGGCGGGACUGCAAGUCAGAUGUGAAAACCACGGGCUCAACCUGUGGCCUGCAUUUGAAACUGUAGUUCGUGAGUACUAGAGAGUCAGACGGAAUUCCUAGUGUAGCGGUGAAAUGCGUAGAUAUUAGGAGGAACACCAGUGGCGAAGGCGGUCUGCUGGACAGCAACUGACGCUGAGGCGCGAAAGCGUGGGGAGCAAACAGGAUUAGAUACCCUUGUAGUC